rnacentral:rRNA from 1 species
UUCCUGAUAAGUUUGUAAAAAUUUUUUACAGGUAAAGAAACUUAAGUUUUGCUUUAAGAUGAAAUAUAUCUCGUAUUAUUGUAGUAGUUAAGGUAAAAGCUUAACUAGCUUAAUAUACGUAGUCGUAACUGAGAGGUUGAUCGACCACAAUGGGUCUGAAAAAAGCCCAUGAUAAAGAUUACAGCAGUGAGGAAUAUUGGUCAAUAGCCUAACGGCUGAACCAGCAACUUGGAAGAAUGUAUAGCGAAAGCUAAUUGUAUGAAAAAUGCAAUAUCAACGAAGUUGAAUAAAAUUCUGGGUAUAUUUUGAUAAUGACAAAUAAUAUCCAUAAGUCUUGACCAAUAAAACGUGCCAGCAGUCGCGGUAACACGUUGAAGACUAGUGUUAUUCAUCAUCAAUAGGUUUAAAGGGUACUUAGACGGUAGGUAAAGCCUUUAUGGAACUAAUUUACUAGAGUUACUUGUGAGGGGGCCUAAAAGUACUAUUGGUUUAGAGAUAAAAUUCUACGAGACCGCUUGUUAAACAGAUAGAAAAUGGCACAGGUAAAGGCGAAAGCGUCUCCCUAUGUGAUAACUGACGUUGAAGGACGAAGGCUUUGUAUAGCGAAUAGGAUUAGAUACCCUAGUAGUCAAAGCAGACAAUGAUGAGUGUCAUAAAUUAGAUAAGUUUUUAGUUUAUAAAUGAAAAUGUAAGCACUCCACCUUAUGAGUAAAGUGGCAACGCCGGAAUUGAAAUCACUAGACCGUUUCUGAAACCAGUAGUGAAGUAUGUUGUUUAAUUUGAUGACCCACAAAGAACCUUACCACAACUUGAAUAUUUAUGUUUUUAUUCAUUUUAUUGCCACACACGAUAAAUAUGAAAUAUAAAAGUGUAUUUACAAGCGUUGCACGGCUGUCUUCAGUUAAUGUCGUGAGAUUUGGUUAGAUUCAUUAAAUUAACGUAAACCCUUGUAUUACUUUUAUAUAAUGCAGCUCAUCCACCACAACGGAUAAGAUAAUAGGGACUAAGAC